rnacentral:rRNA from 1 species
AGUAGUUUGGCCGACCCUCAGCCAGGCGUGGUCCGGGAUUGGAAAUCCAAGGACCGCAAUGUGCGUGCGAAAUGUCGAUGUUCAUGUGUCCUGCAGUUCACA